GAAAGCUAGAAUCUUUUAAAAAUAUCUAACUUUGAGAAGUCUUCUGUUUACAAGUCUGAAUAAACAGAAGCUUCUACACAAAACAUUAUGUUCUUAUUUUGCUUUCAUAACUUGUAACCAAGAUAUUUUUCUGCUUCUGUGCAAAAGUAGAGUAAAAAUUGAGUGGAUCACAAUGGUAGACUUUAAUGUAACUAUCCAAUCUCUCAAACUCUAGCUUACCACAUGCUAAGGAGUCUGGACAGGUUUUCAUCACUGGGAUUUCAUAGAGAUAUCGGUGCCUCUGGAUAUCAGAACAGUAUUCAUCAAGUGAUUCUAUGAUAAGUAAGAUUGCACAACCUGUAAUAGACCCAGUCAUAAUCUGAGAAGGCUGAAUAGACAUGAAGCCUCAUCUGUAUUACAAGGCAUUAGCGUGUACGCCGUUAAGAACUGUGGGUGAGAGAAAGAGAGCUCCAGAGGUAACUGCUGCCAUCAUCCAGAGGUACAUGCUCUUGAGCAAUCCCUGCGGACAUUUGGCCAUGCCAAAGGAGGUGACUACAGAUGUCGACUGUCCUUCAAUCUUGAAUCAUUGUGAGAUGUUAACUGAGUAA
rnacentral:lncRNA from 1 species